rnacentral:rRNA from 1 species
UUGCUGGGUACUCGAGUGGCGAACGGGUGAGUAACACGUGGGUGAUCUGCCCUGAACUUUGGGAUAAGCCUGGGAAACUGGGUCUAAUACCGGAUAUGACCUUGGAUUGCAUGCUCUGGGGUGGAAAGCUUUUGCGGUUCAGGAUGGGCCCGCGGCCUAUCACCUUGUUGGUGGGGUAAUGGCCUACCAAGGCGACCACGGGUAGCCGACCUGAGAGGGUGAUCGGCCACACUGGGACUGAGACACGGCCCAGACUCCUACGGGAGGCAGCAGUGGGGAAUAUUGCACAAUGGGCGCAAGCCUGAUGCAGCGACGCCGCGUGAGGGAUGACGGCCUUCGGGUUGUAAACCUCUUUCACCAGGGACGAAGCGUGAGUGACGGUACCUGGAGAAGAAGCACCGGCCAACUACGUGCCAGCAGCCGCGGUAAUACGUAGGGUGCGAGCGUUGUCCGGAAUUACUGGGCGUAAAGAGCUCGUAGGCGGUUUGUCGCGUCGUCUGUGAAAUUCUGCAACUCAAUUGUAGGCGUGCAGGCGAUACGGGCAGACUUGAGUACUACAGGGGAGACUGGAAUUCCUGGUGUAGCGGUGAAAUGCGCAGAUAUCAGGAGGAACACCGGUGGCGAAGGCGGGUCUCUGGGUAGUAACUGACGCUGAGGAGCGAAAGCGUGGGUAGCGAACAGGAUUAGAUACCCUGGUAGUCCACGCCGUAAACGGUGGGUACUAGGUGUGGGGCUCAUUUCACGAGUUCCGUGCCGUAGCUAACGCAUUAAGUACCCCGCCUGGGGAGUACGGCCGCAAGGCUAAAACUCAAAGGAAUUUGACGGGGGCCCGCACAAGCGGCGGAGCAUGUGGAUUAAUUCGAUGCAACGCGGAAGAACCUUACCUGGGUUUGACAUACACCAGACGGCAUUGUAGAGAUACAUGUUCCCUUGUGGUUGGGUGUACAGGUGGUGGCAUGGCUGUCGUCAGCUUCGUGUCGUGAGAAUGUUGGGUUAAGUCCCGCCACGAGCGCAACCUUGUCUUGUAUGGGCCAGCGGGUAUGCCGGGGGACUUGCAGAGAGACUGCCGGGGUCAACUCUCGAGGGAAGGGUGGGGAUAGACGUCCAGGUCAUCAUGCCCCUUUAUGUCAGGGCUUCCACAUGGCUACAAGGUCGGGGUACGAAGGGCUUGCGGAUAUC